rnacentral:rRNA from 1 species
UACGGGGGGGGCAAGCGUUGUUCGGAAUUACUGGGCGUAAAGGGCUCGUAGGGGGCCAACUAAGUCCGACGUGAAAUCCCUCGGCUUAACCGGGGAACUGCGUCUGAUACUGGAUGGCUUGAGUUUGGGAGAGGGAUGCGGAAUUCCAGGUGUAGCGGUGAAAUGCGUAGAUAUCUGGAGGAACACCGGUGGCGAAGGCGGCAUCCUGGACCAACACUGACACUGAGGAGCGAAAGCCAGGGGAGCAAACGGG